rnacentral:piRNA from 1 species
AACCACGAGUCUUGGGUUAAGGG